GUGUAUGGCCAUGCUACCCUGAACAAGCCCGAUCCCGUCUGAUCUCAGAAGCUAAGCCGGGUCGGGCCUGGUUAGUACUUGGAUGGGAGUCCACCUAAAAAGACCAGAUGCUAUAGGUG
rnacentral:rRNA from 1 species